rnacentral:rRNA from 1 species
AAACCAGCACCUCAAGUGGUCAGGAUGAUUAUUGGGCCUAAAGCAUCCGUAGCCGGCUCUGUAAGUUUUCGGUUAAAUCUGUACGCUUAACGUACAGGCUGCCGGGAAUACUGCAGAGCUAGGGAGUGGGAGAGGUAGACGGUACUCGGGAGGAAGUGGUAAAAUGCUUUGAUCUUUCGAUGACCACCUGUGGCGAAGGCGGUCUACCAGAACACGUCCGACGGUGAGGGAUGAAAGCUGGGGGAGCAAACCGGAUUAGAAACCCGAGUAGUCC